rnacentral:rRNA from 1 species
GAUGAACGCUGGCGGCGCGCCUAACACAUGCAAGUCGAACGAUUAAAGCACCUUCGGGUGUGUAUAAAGUGGCGAACGGCUGAGUAACACGUGGGCAACCUGCCCCUUUCAUUGGGAUAGCCACGGGAAACCGUGGAUAAUACCGAAUACUUCGAGACUUCCGCAUGGAAGACUCGAGAAAGCUCCGGCGGAGAGGGAUGGGCCCGCGGCCUGUUAGCUGGUGGGUGGGGUAACGGCCUACCAAGGCAAUGAGGGGUAGCGGGGUUGGGAGACCGACCGGCCGGAGGGGGGCGGGGCCGCGGCCCGGACUCCUAGGGGGGGCGGGGGUGGGGAAUCUUGCGCAAGGGGCGAAGGCCUGAUGGAGCGACGCGGCGGGGGGGAUGAAGGCCUUCGGGUUGUAAACCGCUUUCGGCAGGGACGAGGCGAAGGGGACGGUACCUGCAGAAGAGACCCCGGCUAACUACGU